CUACGUGCCAGCAGCCGCGGUAAUACGUAGGUGGCAAGCGUUGUCCGGAAUUAUUGGGCGUAAAGCGCGCGCAGGCGGAUAGGUCAGUCUGUCUUAAAAGUUCGGGGCUUAACCCCGUGAUGGGAUGGAAACUGCCAAUCUAGAGUAUCGGAGAGGAAAGUGGAAUUCCUAGUGUAGCGGUGAAAUGCGUAGAUAUUAGGAAGAACACCAGUGGCGAAGGCGACUUUCUGGACGAAAACUGACGCUGAGGCGCGAAAGCCAGGGGAGCGAACGGGAUUAGAUACCCUGGUAGUCCACGCCGUAAACGAUGAGUGCUAGGUGUUAGACCCUUUCCGGGGUUUAGUGCCGCAGCUAACGCAUUAAGCACUCCGCCUGGGGAGUACGACCGCAAGGUUGAAACUCAAAGGAAUUGACGGGGGCCCGCACAAGCGGUGGAGCAUGUGGUUUAAUUCGAAGCAACGCGAAGAACCUUACCAGGUCUUGACAUCCCUCUGACCGCUCUAGAGAUAGAGCUUUC
rnacentral:rRNA from 1 species